AUAAUGACACAGAUCAUUUUGUGAACAUGCAUUUUCUGUCUAACAUGUGUUCCUGGCUUAAUAGGUCACUCUGGGCCAGAAGGACCAAGGGGACUAAAAGGCAGCAUGGGUAAGCAAAAUAUUUAUUUAUUUUGGACCUUAUAUGGGGUCCAGUUUGUCAUUACAAUAUAUAUAAUUUUCUGUAAUAACAAUUAUAGUCCAGGAGAAGAAGUAUUGGGUAAAACAUAGACUGUGAUGGACCUAUAUUCUGAAUAAUCAAUUCUUUACAGGUGAAACUGGCCUGGAAGGCCCCAUAGGACCAAGAGGGCGAGAUGGGCCUCCAGGCCUUCGUGGGGAACCUGGUUCCCCUGGAUUUGGAGAGAAAGGUGACAAAGCCAUCCAUGAUGCCAGGUUCUGCUGGGGAACCAGGUGUCCAAGGUCCACCAGGUGUCCCAGGUUCUAUAGGUCCUAAAGGUAAGUGUUAAGUUUGCAUGAAGAGACAGACGCGGAGUGCUUCAAGCUCUUAGUUUAUUAGUGACUACAGCU
rnacentral:lncRNA from 1 species